UACGUAGGUGACAAGCGUUGUCCGGAUUUACUGGGCGUAAAGAGCGCGCAGGCGGUCGUUCAAGUCGAGUGUGAAAGCCCCCGGCUCAACUGGGGAGGGUCACGCGAUACUGAUCGACUCGAAGGCAGGAGAGGGUAGUGGAAUUCCCGGUGUAGUGGUGAAAUGCGUAGAUAUCAGGAGGAACACCGGUGGCGAAGGCGGGUCUCUGGGCCGUAACUGACGCUGAGGAGCGAAAGCGUGGGGAGCGAACAGG
rnacentral:rRNA from 1 species